CCUACGGGUUGCAGCAGUGGGGAAUAUUGCACAAUGGGCGCAAGCCUGAUGCAGCCAUGCCGCGUGUAUGAAGAAGGCCUUCGGGUUGUAAAGUACUUUCAGCGAGGAGGAAGGCGUUAAGGUUAAUAACCUUAGCGAUUGACGUUACUCGCAGAAGAAGCACCGGCUAACUCCGUGCCAGCAGCCGCGGUAAUGCGGAGGGUGCUAGCGUUAAUCGGAAUUACUGGGCGUAAAGCGCACGCAGGCGGUCUGUCAAGUCGGAUGUGAAAUCCCCGGGCUCAACCUGGGAACUGCAUUCGAAACUGGCAGGCUAGAGUCUUGUAGAGGGGAGUAGAAUUCCAGGUGUAGCGGUGAAAUGCGUAGAGAUCUGGAGGAAUACCGGUGGCGAAGGCGGCCCCCUGGACAAAGACUGACGCUCAGGUGCGAAAGCGUGGGGAGCAAACAGGAUUAGAUACCCCGGUAGUC
rnacentral:rRNA from 1 species